GGUUGAUUGGUGUAGUGGUUAUCACACUCGUCUCACAUCCCAGUGACCACGAGAGGUCCCAGGUUCGAUCCCUGGAUUAAUCA